CGUUUUCAAAAAUAUACAGUCUGAAGAGCGUAUUCAAAAACCAAGGACAGAAGGCCAAAACGGAGAAAAAACCUUCGUUUAUGAAAAUACCCGGUUGCGUGUAGACAAGGCCUAAAUCGAUUCAACAAACAACUAAAAAGAUAAUUUGACUCAUACCGAAAAGUUCUUUAUGCAUCUCACAUAGAUGAAUGGUGACGCACUUGGCACAAAAAACGAUUGAGUUAGCUAAAGUAUUCACAAAGAUUAAAGAUAGCUAUUUGAGACUAAGUCAUUGGCAUUGUCAUUGGCACAGAUUCAUAUAGUCAAGCUUGAAAGAAAAAAUUUAGCAAACAGUGCAUCUUUGUAUAAAAAAUGCGCAGACAGAUUUCCUGCUACGAGAAAUGGGUUUCAUUCAGCAGAAGAACUUCUACAACUUCUACAAUUUAUAGCAGCUAAAAAACUAGUUUUAUUCAGAGUUAACACCAAAUUACAAUAAAAUCGCUUUACAUACACACGAGCUUUGCAAA